rnacentral:rRNA from 1 species
UACGUAGGGGGCAAGCGUUGUCCGGAUUUAUUGGGCGUAAAGAGCGUGUAGGCGGCCAAGCAGGUCCGCUGUGAAAACUCGAGGCUCAACCUCGAGAGGUCGGUGGAAACCGUUUGGCUAGAGUCCGGAAGAGGAGAGUGGAAUUCCUGGUGUAGCGGUGAAAUGCGCAGAUAUCAGGAAGAACACCAAUGGCGAAGGCAGCUCUCUGGGACGGUACUGACGCUGAGACGCGAAAAGCGUGGGGAGCGAACAGG